CUGCUGCCCUCCACUAUUUGAACCUGUGCAUCCUCCUCCACCCCCAAGUACACCACUGUUGCCACCGGCUCCGCCUGCUGGAGGAUUCUUGGAUUCAUGUUUGUGGUUUCUGUGCUGCUGUGGUCUGUUUACAAGCUGCUGCCCUCCACUAUUUGAACCUGUGCCUCCUCCUCCAUAAAACUGCAUUUCUCAAUUACCCACCUUUCCUUGGAAUAGCUUUUGUGUAUGUGAAGUGAAAAACGUAGAUAGUUUAUAGACACUUUUAUCUUCUGAUUUGGUCCUGUGAUGUUAACAAAAAUUCAUGGAAUUCUUCCCUUUAAAAUUUCUUUUACAUUUUUGGAGUUUAAAAUUUGCCGAUCCAAUUAGUCUGAGAUUAAAACUUGAUUAUUGUUAUUAUUUUUGAGUUUGAAACCUUGUGAUAGUUGUUUGUCUAUUUUUUAAUAAGGCAUUAGAGUCAAUUAU
rnacentral:misc_RNA from 1 species